CUUGUAAACAGUAAGACAAUAGAUUGCUUUUUAACUGUUUUUUUUUCCCAGAGGUGAAUUUAAUCAAAUUACAUGUGAUUUCUUACCUGUUUGGACUUAUUUCCACCAUCUUAUGUGUGUUUUCUAUCAUCUUUUUUUUUUCUUGCCUACUAUCUGCAGUAUUAUUUUUUCCUAUAUUCUCAUUCCUCUGUAUUGACUUAGAAGCUAUUGAUUAUAUUUCUUCCCUUCAACUGGUUAUUAAAAAAUUUUUGACAUUCAUGUUAAUUUUUCUUAUGUAAUUAUUCAGAAUUUUAUGAAUUUAUAAUUUUAUAAUAAACUUACAGUAAUUUAAAUGACCAGAGCACACCAUAACCACCAGAGAACACUCCAUUUCAUGAUUGUUCAGUUUUAGCUUUACCUUUAAAAAAAUCCUUCCCAAACCCCUCAAACUUAAAAAAAACAACUAACUAAAUUUAGUAACAUUUCAUCAACUGAAUCACUCUUUUCAAAAAGACCUCCUUGCCACCCCUCUGGAUUCACUCUUCUGGCCGAAGUUCAUCCUUUAGUUGUUUUAGUGAGGAACUGUGAGUAGUAAACUAUUUUUUACAAAUAGCUUUUUCUCUCCACUCUUGAAUAACAGUUCAGGUGAUUAUAAGGUUGCAGUUUCCAGUUACUUCCCCUCAGCAUUGUGAAUCUAUUGCUCUAUUGUUUCCUGGCAUCUAUUAUUGCUAGAUGUCUGCGUCAAUCUAAUUGCUGUUCUUGUGUAAAGACUGUCUUUUCUUUUUGUUUAGUUUAAAAUUUUUCACUUUAUCCUUAAUGUUUCACUGGGAUCUAUUUAAGGGGACUGAUUUAUCCUGCUUGGAAUUCAGAAAGUAUUUGUAAUCAAAGCACUCAUGCCUUUCUUGAAUUCUGGAGAAUUCUCACUCUCUCUCCAAAUAUUGCUUCUCAACCAUAUCUUCCUAUUGGAUAGAUAUUGGAAACUAAAUUUAUCCUUUGUUUUAAGAAAAUGUUUUUCUGUGCUACAUUCUAGUUGCAGCUCUCUUCUAAAUUCAUUUCUCCAAUUGCUUUUUCAUAACCAUCUGUUGCUGUUACUUGUUUCAUGAUUUACUGUUCAUUUUUAAUAAACAUCUCUUUACUCUUUCAGCACACAGAUAUUUUUAAGUCUGCUGAAUGGUUUCCUAUUAUUUUUACAUCAGGAUUGAAUCUGUAUUCCAAUGUUAGUAUUAUUGGGUGGGUUUUUCUUAACAUUGAAUCACUUUCAAAUCAUUUUGGAAUUUUUGCUGCAGGCUACUUUGGGAGAAAGAUUUGUUUAUUUGUUUUUGAUCUCCAUUUCUCCUUUCUCAUGCUUACUCCCUCAUACAGUUGCCUCUGCCUUGCUUCCUGGGAACACAGUUCAGAACUAGGUCUUACGAAAGGUAAGUCUGAGUUCUUGUCUCUGAGAUAGUGGAGCUCUUACAAAUCCAGUUAUUUAGACAAAGUCUGGUUUCGUUUCUGUCUGUGAGAUUGCGUCCUCCCAUAUGGCUAGGUACAGCUUCUUUAAGCCACUAGAUUUCUGCAGCAGUUAAGGACAGUUUUAUUUGGUUUCCUUUUAUGCUUAGGGAAUCUCAAUCCAAGGCCCUGACUUUAAGCCAUAACCUUACUCCAGUCCUCACUUGUGUGGAACACUUUUAAUCCUCAUUACCCAGGAGCCAUAUGCUUGGCUACCACUGCCCACUUCCAGAACUGUUACAGCUCCCAUCAUCACAUUGUGCUUCUACUUCAUAGAGAUGUUUACCUUAUUUAUUGCUCUGUCUAUAUCUUUUUGGGUUUUUUUCCCCAAUUGUUGCCAUGUGCUAGAUCAUGAACUUAAUGUGCUAUUUUGAUCUAAAACCAAUGAUGUUUUUCAUUUCCUUGUAUGCCCAGAGCCACUGUAAUGGACAUGACUGGCUGUCUACCUGGAACCCAUUCCUCCCUUUUCUUUCUCAUUAGUACCCAACAGUAUUACUCUUCAUAUCUUCAGAUAAAAACUGCACUUUUUGCAUUUACUCCCUUUCUAAUCCAUGCCACCUUAUUUAACCCAAUUACUGACCUUCAAUGAUUGAGUCUUAAUGUUUUGUAAGUAGUUAACAGACAAGUGUAGUUUUAUUUUGCUACUCAUGAAUCAAUUCUUGUAAUAAGCAUGAUGCAUACCAGCACAGUCAGUUCUUAAUACUGAGACAGCAUACUUCAAGAUAAAUCCUGGUACUCAAUUUCUGUGUGCAUUUUUUUUAAUGCAGUUUGUAGCACUUCUAAGUUAAUUUUUUACUUAAAGAACAAAGGUAAGUGACAAAGGAACAUACUCCACCCAAGCACUUUAUGAGCCCUGAAAUGUAAUAGUAAAAAGGACAAACUUCAUUGUGAAUUGGUUUUGAAGGUUAAUAAUAUAUUACUAUUAUCAGUAGUAGUGGCAUAGUUAUUUUACUUUGACCAGUCAUUGAUAAAACAAUCCAAGUCUAGUUGUUAAGUAGCUGAAGCUAGAAAUACAAUUAUUUCCUGUAGAAAUGACUGCAGUGCUUUCAAAUAAUUUAUACAGUUGACCAUUGAACACAAGUAUGACCUGAAUGGGUCCACAUAAAUGCAAGUAUUUUUCAAUAACUAUAUUGGAAAUAUUUUUGUAGAUUUGUGACAAUUUGAAAAAACAUUUUCUUUUCUCUAGCUUACUUAAAAAAUAUAGUAUAUGAUACAUAUAACAUACAAAGUAUAUGUUAGUCAUCUGCUUAUGUUACCAGUAUGGCUUAUAGUCAACAGUGGGUUGUGAGUAGUUAAGUUUCUGGGGAGUCAAAAGUUAUACAUGGAUUUUAGACAGCAUAGGGGGACAGCAUCCCUAAGCCCACAUUGUUCAAGGGUCAACUGUACAUGAAAAAUUUACAACUACCCUCCUCUAAAGAGUUGUCCAACUUGCAGAUUCUAAUUCCUCUCCUCCUAUUCUCUAUUUAAACCACACCUAUCAGGUUUUCUCUCACUCUUCUCCUGAAAAUGCUCUUGCAUGGUUACCAGUGACUUCUGCAUUGCUAAAUCCAAUGGUCAAACCUCUUUCUACAAAGAAAGAGGCUGUCAUUGAAAAAUCUUUCAUUUCCCUUCAGCACUACUUCAUAUUGCAAAGGCAAAGUGAAUUCCCUAAAAAUGGUAUCAAAACACAAAUACAGUUGAUCCUUGAAUAACACAGGCUUAAGGGUACUGACACUCUACACAGUUGAAAACCUACAUAUACUUUUUGACACCCCAAAAACUUAACUAUUAGUAGUCCACAGUCGACUGGAAGUCUUAACAAUAACACAGUCAAUAAACACAUAUUUUGUAUGUUAUAUAUUAAAUACUGCAUUCUUUCAAUAAAGCUAGAGAAAAUAUCAAGAAAAUCAUAAGGAAAAUAUAUUACAAUAUUGUAUUAUAUUUACUGAUUCCAUUAAGAUUACACUAGAAAAUGAACUGUCUGCCAGUAUGUACAUCAGUAUUCUUACAUGAAACAAAAUACUGUAGAUGUUGUUUGUAUUACUAAAACUAGACCAAAAAAAAGAAAAGAUGAGGAAAAGAUUCAUAAUCAUUUAUAGGUAUAAUCAUUCACGUAUUGAUAAUGAAGCAGCAGCAAUGUGACUGCCUAUGGUAGCCUUGCCUAUACACCAAUGAAUGAAUGAUUAUAUAAUUUUUAUGAUAUGAGGUAAUACAGUCAUAUUUACAAUGCAGAAUUGGAAGCAUUGUUACAUUUUUUUAAAAGUCACUUACCUGUGAUGACAAGCUGAUAUUUUCUCUACCAGAGAAAAACGUACAGUACUGUAAUUCUUUGAAAGCAAAGUUAUGAAACAGUAGGAAAACUAAUACAUUAUUACUUUUAUAUUAAAUAUCACCCACCUUAUGCCCAUGUAAGGAGAGGCUAUUCACUUCUUUACAAGUCUUGCACACAAUGUCUACAAUGAAUAUUUGGUUGAUAGUGAUGACUCAAAAAUAUCUCAAACAAUUCUUGUUGUAUAGUUAUUAGAUUUUCACAUGAAGACAGACAUGCACAACAGUAAGUUUAUUAACUGUAUGGCAUGAUGAUUCUUUAUUAUUCAUUAAGUGGAAGUGUAAAAAAGGCCUUCAUCAUCGUCUUCACGUUGAGUAGGCUGAAGAGGAGGAGGAAGUGGUUGGUCAUACUGUCUCAGGAGUGGGAAGUGGAAGAGGAGGCAGGAGACAGGCAGGCUUGGUGUAACUUUAUGGAAAAACAUUGUUAACUUCUGACUUUCUUGCUUUUUCAUUUCUCUAAAAACGUUUCUCUAUAUGGUACCAUCAUUUGCUUUUGUUUCAGUACCUGUAUCACAGAAGGUUCCAUGUUGUAAAAAAAAAAAGCCAAAAGUAAAAGUAGUCUUAAAUAACUGGAACCCUUUUGCCAAAUUGUCUCAUGUCGAUUUGUUUUCUGGCACUGCUUUGAUGUCUUCUUCCUCAUUGCACUGGUUCAGGAGCACUCAUUUCCAUCAAGUCAUCUUCCUCUUGAUGGUAACUCCUCUGGUGUGGUAUCUUGAAUCCCUUCGCACCCCUCCACCCCUCCCCUUUUUUGCCAUAUCCACAAUCUCAUGAUUUCUUUGAUUGGCUCUGCCUUAAAUAUUGGUGCUCAGUUCUCUUCCUUACUAAUAAUAUCCUUUGUGGCAUUUUUUUCUUUCCAGAAUAGGGACUGCAUUAAAAACUUGUUCAGGCAGAGAUCCUUUUUCCUUCAUUUUCUUACUAGUGCCUGGGAACUUUAUCUACUGCCUUUUGGUCAGCAGAAGCUGUUGCUCCUGUAAUUGACAUUUUUUAAAGCCAAAUCUCUUCCUAAAAUUGUCAAAUGAUCCUUUGCGGGCAUUAAAUUCUUGUUUUAGAUCCUUCACCUUCCUUUUGCUUCAAGUUGUUAUAUAAUGAUUUUGCUUUUUUUGAAUUAUAUUAAGACUCUAUACUAUAGGUAUGACUUUCUUCUAACAAUCCUGCAGCCACAUAAAAGCUGCAUUUUCAGUAUGAUACAAAAAGGUAUUUCACAAAAAGUGCAGGGUUUUUGCACCUCCUGGUAUAGCUGUAGCAACAGCUUCACGAAUUUCCUCUUCUUUUUCACAUAGUCCUUACACUGGAUUCAUUUAUUUUGAAGUAGUGGGCAACUGCAGCUGCAAACCUCAAUCUACAGUACAUGUAAGCAAUUCAACUUUUUCUUGUAACGUCAUGACUUUACUUCUUGGGAGCACUUCAAGCAUCUUCACUAGUGGCACUUCGUGUGGAUC